rnacentral:rRNA from 1 species
AUUGAACGCUGGCGGCAGGCCUAACACAUGCAAGUCGAACGAGUGGCGGACGGGUGAGUAAUGUCUGGGAAACUGCCUGAUGGAGGGGGAUAACUACUGGAAACGGUAGCUAAUACCGCAUACCAUCAGAUCUGCCCAGAUGGGAUUAGCUAGUUGGUGGGGUAAAGGCUCACCAAGGCGACGAUCCCUAGCUGGUCUGAGAGGAUGACCAGCCAUACUGGAACUGAGACACGGUCCAGACUCCUACGGGAGGCAGCAGUGGGGAAUAUUGCACAAUGGGCGAAAGCCUGAUACAGCCAUGCCGCGUGUAUGAAGAAGGCCUUCGGGUUGUAAAGUACUUUCGGCAGGGAGGCGUUACCCGCAGAAGAAGCACCGGCUAACUCCGUGCCAGCAGCCGCGGUAAUUC